AAUCACUAAUUAAACCUCUCAUAAAUACUGAGUCCAAAUUCGAUGGGCAAUCGGACAUCAAAGUCCAUCGAUAUAAAACCUUGAUCGAAGAGUCCCAAACCAGUGGGACUCUUGACCCUGGUACCCAAAAUGUGUGGAACUCAUGAUCAGAGAAUCUUGAUUCUCGAUCAUAGAGUCUCAGACAUGUAGGACUUAGAGUCCCUGAGCAUUAGGACUCUUGGUCAAAGAGUCCCAGUCCAGUGGGACUUUUCACCAGCCAUC
rnacentral:lncRNA from 1 species